GUUUUCCACUUUCACCCUGAUUCGAGUUUGAAACUCGAAACCCUAAUCGCAUCCGCGAUUUAUUUGGCGCUAAAGCAAAGAUUCCACCUUUGGGGAGAUCGGUUCGAUCCAAGGAAUGGAUGCGGAUGGCGACAAAGUCAUCGACAAGUGGGUAUGCGAAUUCGUGCUCCGUCGGCAACAAAAUCCUAGGGUUUGCGGGAAGAGGCUGUUGUCAACGCUGAGACUGGAAGAGGACGAUGGCUGCACCACCCUCAAGAAAUCGGCGGUUCUUCGUGACAUAUGGAAUCGCUUGAUUCAGGGAAUCGUGGACGAGCGAAUCCUUGACCUCCUCGAGCUGUUCGAGAAGCUUCAACUACAUGAAGGUUCUGCAAUUUUAGAGUCCCUCAAGUCUGCCUACUGCUGGGCAGCUGCCGAAUGUACGGUUAGGUAUAUGUUGGCUGUGGACGCCGUGGAAGCUUUUCUCUACUGGGAAGCCCUGCAGAGGAUCUGGGACCUGAGAAUCGGCCUUCUGAAUGAAAGAGAUAGCGUCUUGGUGACUCAAGAGCUCAUCGACUGGGGUUAUAACCUCAAGAAUGCCAUUGAUGAUUCCGAAUUAUACCAGCGGCUUCGCCAGAUUAAUACCAGGUACUUUGCUAUCUCUUAUCUUUGUGAGUUUGUCAAAGAGCACUGGGUGCUCGUGGGCUCUCCAUAUCUAGAACUAGAAGCCAGUAGGAGGUUCCGACACAAGGGAAAUGAUACAAAUGUGGAGCGGAACCCGGAUGAUGUUCGAAACGGAGAAACGUCACCGAGACCUAAUGAUGCUCAUCAAUGCCCGGGGCAUUUGGAGGAUGACCCCAUCGAUAACACGAAUGGGCAGUCUGUAUUCAAUGUUGGUCAACAGGAACAUGAGCAGAGUGAUAAUAAGGGGAAACCCUCAGUGGCUCAGGAGCUGAAAGAGGAUUUGUUGGAGGUAGAGGCGCUGAUCAAUGGCCUUACCCGGGAUGGGAUUGACGACGACCAGACGUCGGAACAACAUUCUACCAGUGUUACCCCUCAACGUCUUCAGGCCGGUGUCAGAGGUCAAGAUUACAACAAAGAACCCGAGAAUGUAAAUGAGCGAGCUUCUGAUAGUGAAGGAACAUUGUCCGGGACAGUUAGGCCUCAUCUGCCAAACAUUAAAUCAUUCAGUGUAUCCCCGUUAAGGAAAGGUCGAAUGCCUAAACCCCAAAGCAGUGCUGACAGAAGGCUGAGGAAAGGUUGGACUCGUGAAGAAGUACAAACCCUAAGGGAAGGCGUGAAGGAGUAUGGAAAAUCCUGGAAAGCUAUAAAGGAGGCUUACCCCGAAUUGUUCGCGAAUAGGACUCCGGUUGAUUUGAAGGAUAAAUGGAGGAACUUAGUUGCUUGACAAAGAAGAAGACUCUCUAUAUAGGUUUAUCUGGAGAUUUCUGGUUAAUGUGGUGAUAAUGUACCGCCUGAUUGCUACGAAAACUGUGUCUAUAUCGCGUUCUGCCACUGAGGCGUGUUGUGUUGCAGCCACAUCGUUUAAGUUUUAGCAGGUUAGGGCUUUCUCCUUUUGGAAUGAAGAAAAACUGUAGGCAUUGGCUCUAUGGUAGGCACUGGCUGUCUUUGGUUGAACUCGUAAAUGUUGCAAAGCUGAUAAGCAAAAGAAUGUUAGCUGCGUAGGAUUCUGGUUCUUGUCUUGUAAACAUGCUUGGUGUUGUGUUGUGAAUUUUGGUUUGUACGUAA